UUGCUUCAGCAGCACUUAUACUAAAACUGGAACGAUACAGAGAAGAUUAGCAUGGCCCCUGAGCAAGGAUGACAUGCAAAUUCAUGAAGCGUUCCAUAUUAAA
rnacentral:snRNA from 1 species